rnacentral:rRNA from 1 species
CCUACGGGGGGCAGCAGUGGGGCAUAUUGCGCAAUGGGCGAAAGCCUGACGCAGCGACGCCUCGUGAGGGAUGAAGGUCUUCGGAUCGUAAACCUCUGUCAGCAGGGAAGCACGGUCCCUGUGCUAAUCAGCAGUGAAUUGACGGUACCUGCAAGGGAAGCACCGGCUAACUCCGUGCCAGCAGCCGCGGUAAUACGGAGGGUGCGGGCGUUACUCGGAAGUACUGGGCGUAAGGCGCUCGUAGGUGGUAUGUCAAGUCAAGGGUGAAAUCCCCGGGGGCAACGUGGGAACUGCCUUUGAAACUGGCAAACUGGAGUGUGUGAGAGGAUAGUGGAAUUCCAGGUGUAGGAGUGAAAUCCGUAGAUAUCUGGAGGAACAUCAGUGGCGAAGGCGACUAUCUGGCACAUAACUGACGCUGAGGAGCGAAAGCGUGGGUAGCAAACAGGAUUAGAUACCCGGGUAGUC